AAUGAACGCUGGCGGCGCGCCUAAUACAUGCAAGUCGAGCGAGAAGACGUAGCAAUACGUUUGUAAAGCGGCGAACGGGUGAGGAAUACAUGGGUAACCUACCCUCGAGUGGGGAAUAACUAGCCGAAAGGUUAGCUAAUACCGCGUACGCUUCUUGGACUUCGGUUCAGGGAGGAAAGCGAUGCCGAGGGUAUCGCGCUCUUGGAUGGGCUCAUGUCCUAUCAGCUUGUUGGGAGGUAACGGCUCACCAAGGCUUCGACGGGUAGCUGGUCUGAGAGGACGAUCAGCCACACUGGCACUGCGACACGGGCCAGACUCCUACGGGAGGCAGCAGUAAGG
rnacentral:rRNA from 1 species